AGUGAACGCUGGCGGUAGGCCUAACACAUGCGAGUCGAACGGCAGCACAGUAAGAGCUUGCUCUUACGGGUGGCGAGUGGCGGACGGGUGAGGAAUACAUCGGAAUCUACUUUUUCGUGGGGGAUAACGUAGGGAAACUUACGCUAAUACCGCAUACGACCUACGGGUGAAAGCAGGGGAUCUUCGGACCUUGCGCGAUUGAAUGAGCCGAUGUCGGAUUAGCUAGUUGGCGGGGUAAAGGCCCACCAAGGCGACGAUCCGUAGCUGGUCUGAGAGGAUGAUCAGCCACACUGGAACUGAGACACGGUCCAGACUCCUACGGGAGGCAGCAGUGGGGAAUAUUGGACAAUGGGCGCAAGCCUGAUCCAGCCAUACCGCGUGGGUGAAGAAGGCCUUCGGGUUGUAAAGCCCUUUUGUUGGGAAAGAAAAGCAGCAGGUUAAUACCCCGCUGUUCUGACGGUACCCAAAGAACAAGCACCGGCUAACUUCGUG
rnacentral:rRNA from 1 species